GCACAACUAUUCAGACGUGCCUCAAUGAUUAGAGUCGCUAACGAUGGUCUUCAGGCCGGUUCCACUCAUCCUACACUAAUGACAGCUACGUUAUUAUUUCCUCUGGGACUGUCAGGGAGGUUAUUGACUGCUAGUGAUUCAGACCAAGUGGAAGAGGGAAUCAUACUUUAGAAAACGGGCUGACCACAGUCUGAACCUUACAGAGACAUUGGAAGCUACGAAGGUGAAGGAAAGAACAAAGGCAGACCGGGGAUGUGACCUCUUUCCCAGAGGAAGUGAUGGAUAAGGCCAGAAGAGCCAUAACCCAGCAACAUUGAGAUACAAUCCAACAGAGGACACCUGAUGGGUUUCCUCAAAUUGUGGCACCAGGUGCUUCGUUGUGGCUCACAGUCCCGCACAGUGGCCAGACGGCAACCGAGUGGUAGAGGCCAUCUUCACAAACCUCUGUCAGCUCUACCCAAAUAGUGUGUGCUGUGACGGAGUGAGGGUCUCACGAUUCAAAAUGGUGACACGUGCUUAUAAGCACAUCCGAGAGUGUGUGAUCACCAAUGCCAAGUUGAUGACUGAGACCACCAUCCAGCUCCCAGAAGUCAAUGCUGCA